AUCAACUUUCGAUGGUAGGAUAGAGGCCUACCAUGGUGGUAACGGGUAACGGGGUGUUAGGGCACGACACCGGAGAGGGAGCCUGAGAAACGGCUACCACAUCCAAGGAUGGCAGCAGGCGCGCAAAUUACCCAAUCCCGACACGGGGAGGUAGUGACAAUAAAUAACAAUACGGGGCUCUUUAGGGUCUCGUAAUUGGAAUGAGUACAAUUUAAAUCUCUUAACGAGGAACAAUUGGAGGGCAAGUCUGGUGCCAGCAGCCGCGGUAAUUCCAGCUCCAAUAGCGUAUAUUAAAGUUGUUGCAGUUAAAAAGCUCGUAGUUGAAUUUCGGGAUCAGCAGGUUGGUCGUGCCUCUGGUAUGUACUGGUUUCGCUGAUUCCUCCUUUCUGAAGAACUGUAAUGUCAUUAAUUUGGUGUUGCAGGGAAACAGGACUGUUACUUUGAAAAAAUUAGAGUGUUUAAAGCAAGCUAAGGCUUGAAUACAUUAGCAUGGAAUAAUGAAAUAGGACGUUUGAUCCUAUUUUGUUGGUUUCUAGGAUUGACGUAAUGAUUAAUAGGGAUAGUUGGGGGCAUUAGUAUUCAAUUGUCAGAGGUGAAAUUCUUGGAUUUAUUGAAGACUAACUACUGCGAAAGCAUUUGCCAAGGAUGUUUUCAUUAAUCAAGAACGAAAGUUAGGGGAUCGAAGACGAUCAGAUACCGUCGUAGUCUUAACCAUAAACUAUGCCGACUAGGGAUCGGAUGAUGUUAAUUUUUUAAUGACUCAUUCGGCGCCUUACGGGAAACCAAAGUGUUUGGGUUC
rnacentral:rRNA from 1 species